AUUGAACGCUGGCGGCAUGCUUUACACAUGCAAGUCGAACGGCAGCGCGGGGGCAACCCUGGCGGCGAGUGGCGAACGGGUGAGUAAUGUAUCGGAACGUAUCCUGUAAUGGGGGAUAACCAGUCGAAAGAUUGGGUAAUACCGCAUACGCACGAGAGUGGAAAGUAGGGGAUCGCAAGACCUUACGUUAUAGGAGCGGCCGAUAUCUGAUUAGCUAGUUGGUGGGGUAAAGGCCUACCAAGGCGACGAUCAGUAGCUGGUCUGAGAGGACGACCAGCCACACUGGGACUGAGACACGGCCCAGACUCCUACGGGAGGCAGCAGUGGGGAAUUUUGGACAAUGGGCGAAAGCCUGAUCCAGCCAUGCCGCGUGCAGGAAGAAGGCCUUCGGGUUGUAAACUGCUUUAGCCUAGGAAAAAGGGGUGCGAGGUUAAUACCCUCGUGCUUUGAUGGUACUGGAAGAAUAAGCACCGGCUAACUACGUG
rnacentral:rRNA from 1 species